GAGCGCAGGCGGAAGAAUAAGUCUGAUGUGAAAGCCCUCGGCUUAACCGAGGAACUGCAUCGGAAACUGUUUUUCUUGAGUGCAGAAGAGGAGAGUGGAACUCCAUGUGUAGCGGUGGAAUGCGUAGAUAUAUGGAAGAACACCAGUGGCGAAGGCGGCUCUCUGGUCUGCAACUGACGCUGAGGCUCGAAAGCAUGGGUAGCGAACAGGAUUAGAUACCCUGGUAGUCCAUGCCGUAAACGAUGAGUGCUAAGUGUUGGGAGGUUUCCGCCUCUCAGUGCUGCAGCUAACGCAUUAAGCACUCCGCCUGGGGAGUACGACCGCAAGGUUGAAACUCAAAGGAAUUGACGGGGGCCCGCACAAGCGGUGGAGCAUGUGGUUUAAUUCGAAGCAACGCGAAGAACCUUACCAGGUCUUGACAUCUAGUGCAAUCCGUAGAGAUACGGAGUUCCCUUCGGGGACACUAAGACAGGUGGUGCAUGGCUGU
rnacentral:rRNA from 1 species